UCGGUCUCUUCACAAGCCCACUGGAAACUGGAGGUGGCAGAGAGGACAGAGUGUGCGUCUGGGAGCCCGUGGCUGCCUGGAGCCACAGGCUCCCAGACUGCACACUCUGUCU